UCAAGAAACUUCCACAAUAGGCGAAAGCCUGAUGGAGCGACGUCGCGUGAUGGACGAAGUGCUUCGGCACGUAAACAUCUUUUAUGUGGGGUGAAAUUAUUGACAGUACCACAUGAAUAAGGGGCUCCUAACUCUGUGCCAGCAGGAGCGGUAAUACAGAGGCCCCAAGCGUUAUCCGGAAUCACUGGGCGUAAAGGGUGUCGAGGCGGUUGUAUUAGUCGUUCGUAAAAUCUACGAGCUUAACUUGUAGGCGGCGAACGAAACGGUACGACUUGAGGUUUGGAGAGGUGCGUGGAACUCACGGUGUAGGGGUGAAAUCCGUUGAUAUCGUGGGGAACACCAAAGGCGAAGGCAGCGCACUGGCCAAAAUCUGACGCUCACACACGAAAGCUAGGGUAGCGAAGAGGAUUAGAUACCCCCGUAGUCCCUGAGCGGGCUGGCAAGGCGCAU
rnacentral:rRNA from 1 species